GGGCCUGUAGCUCAGUUGGUUAGAGCAGGAGACUCAUAAUCUCUUGGUCCCCGGUUCAAGUCCGGGCGGGCCUACCA
rnacentral:tRNA from 1 species